CCUACGGGUGGCAGCAGUGAGGAAUAUUGGUCAAUGGCCGCGAGCCUGAACCAGCCAAGUCGCGUGAAGGAUGAAGGCCCUACGGUUUGUAAACUUCUUUUAUAAGGGAAUAAAGUUAGGCACGUGUGCCUUUUUGUAUGUACCUUAUGAAUAAGCAUCGGCUAACUCCGUGCCAGCAGCCGCGGUAAUACGGAGGAUGCGAGCGUUAUCCGGAUUUAUUGGGUUUAAAGGGUGCGUAGGGGGUUUUUUAAGUCAGCGGUGAAAGUUGGGGGCUCAACCAUAAAAUUGCAGUUGAAACUGGAAGUCUGGAGUGUGUGUGAGGUAGGCGGAAUGCGUGGUGUAGCGGUGAAAUGCAUAGAUAUCGCGCAGAACUCCGAUUGCGAGGGCAGCUUACUAAGCCAUAACUGACACUGAGGCACGAAAGCGUGGGUAUCAAACAGGAUUAGAUACCCUAGUAGUC
rnacentral:rRNA from 1 species